UACAGAGGUUGCGAGCGUUAAUCGGAUUUACUGGGCGUAAAGCGUGCGUAGGCAGCUUUUUAAGUCGUAUGUGAAAUCCCCUAGCUUAACUUGGGAAUUGGAUUCGAUACUGGGAGGCUAGAGUAUGGGAGAGGAUGGUAGAAUUCAAGGUGUAGUGGUGAAAUGCGUAGAGAUCUGGAGGAAUACCGAUGGCGAAGGCAGCCAUCUGGCCUAAUACUGACGCUGAGGUACGAAAGCAUGGGGAGCAAACAGG
rnacentral:misc_RNA from 1 species